GAUGAACGCUGGCGGCGUGCCUAAUACAUGCAAGUCGAGCGAACAGACGAGGAGCUUGCUCCUUUGACGUUAGCGGCGGACGGGUGAGUAACACGUGGAUAACCUACCUAUAAGACUGGGAUAACUUCGGGAAACCGGAGCUAAUACCGGAUAAUAUAUUGAACCGCAUGGUUCAAUAGUGAAAGACGGUUUUGCUGUCACUUAUAGAUGGAUCCGCGCCGCAUUAGCUAGUUGGUAAGGUAACGGCUUACCAAGGCAACGAUGCGUAGCCGACCUGAGAGAGUGAUCGGCCACACUGGAACUGAGACACGGUCCAGACUCCUACGGGAGGCAGCAGUAGGGUAUCUUCCGCAAUGGGCGAAAGCUUGGCGGAGCAACGCCGCGUGAGUGAUGAAGGUGUUCGGAUCGUAAAACUCUGUUAUUAGGGAAGAACAAAUGUGUAAGUAACUGUGCACGUCUUGACGGUACCUAAUCAGAAAGCCACGGCUAACUACGUG
rnacentral:rRNA from 1 species